UCAGCGUUGCAUUCUGGGAGAUAGAGUUUUUGGGGACCACGCUGUUUUCCUGCUUUUAAAACCACCUUAAAAUUUAAGCUAGUUUACUCCUUCCUUGUCUGAACAGAGUGUGCAGCUCUUAAUGGAAUCAUGGAGAGGAGGAACCUGGGGUGCUAACCCCCCACAUGACAUCAAGAAGGAAAAAUCUGAGAAUGAGGCUGUGGGGAAGCUGAGAUGGAUGCUGACAGGACCUUCAGUGUUGCUUAAGAAGGAGCUGGAGGUUAAUCUGCCAACCCUGCUGAGCCCCAGGAUUGUGUUUGCAGUAAGAUGAGGAGUGGUGAGGCACAAAGUAGCGUGUUCCAAGCAUGAUCGGCCCCCUUCAUCCCUUACUGGUCUGCGUUCACAUUAAGCGGGUGCUUGAAGGGCAAGACAGCGAAGACACGGUCCAGCGCUUUUAUUGACCCAGAGAAACCUCCCUGUGUCUCCGGGGGGCUCCAAGCUCAGGAGCCGGAGAAGAAAAUGUCACCAGAUCAAAUUAGUGGGAGCCUCCAACGCUGCCUGUCUGCAUCUGUCUGUCUAUUUCACCGGGUGAUGGCAUCACUCAUGGAAGUUUCCAGAAGUUUUUGUGUCUAAACUGUACUCCCAAGAUUACUCACUGUGAGGGUUUGACAUGCAGGUCACUGCAAACUCCACAGAGAAACAUUUGGCUCUUCGACAGAAUUCCUCUCUGUCUUUGUUUUUAG